rnacentral:sRNA from 1 species
UGUAUAUGAGUGCUGAACGUGUACUGGC